rnacentral:rRNA from 1 species
AUUCCAAUCGAACUCGGAGAUAGCUGGUUCUCCCCGAAAUAGCUUUAGGGCUAGCGUUGAUUUAGAUUACCGGAGGUAAAGCACUGAAUGGGCUAGGGGGCGAUAAGCUUACUGAACCCUAUCAAACUCUGAAUGCCGGCUAAUUGAUGAUCAGCAGUCAGACAGUGUGAGAUAAGUUUCAUUGUCAAAAGGGAAACAGCCCAGACCUACAGCUAAGGUCCCAAAUGUAUGCUAAGUGGAAAACGAUGUGGAGUUGCGAAAACAACCAGGAUGUUGGCUUAGAAGCAGCCAUUCAUUAAAAGAGUUCGUAAUAGAUCACUGGUCGAGUGACUCUGCGCGGAAAAUAUAACGGGGCUAAGUAUGCAACCGAAGCUUAGGAUGUCCGCAAGGGCGUGGUAGGGGAGCGUCGUGUACGGGGUGAAGUCGCAGCGGAAGCAGCGGUGGACUGUACAGGAGUGAGAAUGCCGGAAUGAGUAGCGAGAAUUAUGUGGGAAUCAUAAUGGCCGAAAAUCUAAGGUUUCUUGGGGAAGGUUCGUCCGCCCAAGGUAAGCCGGGAGCUAAGGCGAGGCCGCGAGGCGUAGUCGAUGCACAUACGGUAGAAAUUCCGUAGCCACCGAACUUUAAACCAGAAGGACACUUUCAGAUAGCGGGACCCAGCCGUUGGUAGAGCUGGGCGCAAGGGACCGAAAUAUAGUAGGGAAGUCCGCGAUGCUGGGAGGCGAGAAAAGCUCUGGUGUACACUAAGGUGCCCGUACCGCAAACCGACACAGGUAGAUGAGGAGAGAAUCCUAAGGCCAACGGGAGAAGGGUUGUUAAGGAACUCGGCAAAUUGACCCCGUAACUUCGGGAGAAGGGGUGCUCCAGAGAUGGAGCCGCAGAGAAUCGGCCCAAGCAACUGUUUACCAAAAACACAGGUUUGUGCUAAAUCGAAAGAUGACGUAUACGAGCUGACGCCUGCCCGGUGCUGGAAGGUUAAGAGGAGAUGUGCAAGCAUUGAAUCGAAGCCCCAGUGAACGGCGGCCGUAACUAUAACGGUCCUAAGGUAGCGAAAUUCCUUGUCAGGUAAGUUCUGACCCGCACGAAUGGCGUAAUGAUUUGGGCACUGUCUCAACAGCCCGCCCGGCGAAAUUGUAGUACUGGUGAAGAUGCCAGUUACCCGCAACUAGACGGAAAGACCCCAUGGAGCUUUACUGCAGUUUAAUACUGGGAAUCGGUAAUUCAUGUACAGGAUAGGUGGGAGACUGAGAAGCAUGGCCGUCAGGUCGUGUGGAGUCACCGGUGGGAUACCACUCUUGGAUUGCUGGUUUCCUAACCUGCGGCCCUGAAUCGGGUCGGGGGACACUGUUAGACGGGCAGUUUGACUGGGGCGGUCGCCUCCAAAAGAGUAACGGAGGCGCUCAAAGGUUCGUUCAGCACGGACGGAAAUCGUGCAUUGAGUGUAAACGCAUAAACGAGCCUAACUGCGAGACCGACGGGUCGAGCAGUAACGAAAGUUGGAGUUAGUGAUCCGGUGGUAUGUGAGUGGAAAUGCCAUCGCUCAACGGAUAAAAGUUACCCUGGGGAUAACAGGCUGAUCUCCCCCAAGAGUCCACAUCGACGGGGAGGUUUGGCACCUCGAUGUCGGCUCAUCGCAUCCUGGGGCUGUAUUCGGUCCCAAGGGUUUGGCUGUUCGCCAAUUAAAGCGGCACGCGAGCUGGGUUCAGAACGUCGUGAGACAGUUCGGUCCCUAUCUGUUGCGGGCGUAAGAGAUUUGAAGGGAGCUGUCCUUAGUACGAGAGGACCGGGAUGGACGUACCUCUGGUGCACCAGUUGUCCUGCCAAGGGCAUAGCUGGGUAGCUAUGUACGGACGAGAUAAACGCUGAAAGCAUCUAAGCGUGAAACUCUCCCUAAGAUGAGAUCUCUCAUCCAUUAUGGAGUAAGGGCCCAGAAAGACGAUCUGGUUGAUAGGCCGGAGGUGGAAGCGCGGUAACGUGUGCAGCUGACCGGUACUAAUAGCCCGAGGGCUUGACCUA